GGAGGUUGGCGGUGGACGGGCACCUCGCCAACCCGGUCAGGACCGGAAGGUAGCAGCCGUAACGAGAUUCGUUCGGGUCACCUAACCAGCCUCCCAC
rnacentral:SRP_RNA from 1 species